GAUAGACUGAAGCCUUUAAUUUCUGUUUGCAUCAACUGGGGUAGAGUUUUUUCUCCUGUCAAACGCACAGUUUUGGAAGGUGUUGACUGGGGAUGUGUAAUGUCCUUCGAAUAGGAAAAAUCCUCUAUAUCAGGCAGUCUAACAAGCAUAACUUUUUUGCCAGAAGAUUCUUCCUUGACCUCUUUGGCUAUGACUUCCACAGUCUUUU
rnacentral:misc_RNA from 1 species